rnacentral:misc_RNA from 1 species
AGAUAUCGUUGUAUUUAUUAUUUGGAAAAUUCUAAUAAUCGGAACUAAUUACAAGGGCAGUCUUAGACUCUAAGAAUGACAUUGGAAACAAUCACAAAUUUGCACAAGGGUAAUAGGAAAAUGAAUUUAUUGACAACUAUAUUUAGAACCGUGAAGUUAUUUAUCAUCAUCGGUGAAGAAAUGGUUGAUGGCAGGCAUGAUUUCAGGCCGGCGAGUUCGAAGGAACUUCCGGAGGCCAUGCUCAGCAUACUUCUCUCCUUCCUCUUCGUUUUCCAGCACUCCCGCAAGGCGGUGAGCUUUGUUGAUCCUGACUUCUGGGUUCAGGAACAUGUUUCUUGUAAGCUGGAAGACACACAUGCUUGUUACAAAGGUCAUUGCAGCCAACAGUGGGUAGACCUCUGGCCUCAUCCAACGCCCCAUUAGAAAGUAAUAUUGGUAUGUGAAAGAAAUGAUUUGAUUUGCUCCUCCGGAACUUGGAAAGAUAUUGCAACUGUAGGCUGGGGGAAGUGUUA